rnacentral:rRNA from 1 species
CGCUGGCGGCAGGCUUAACACAUGCAAGUCGAACGGUAGCAGGAAGAAAGCUUGCUUUCUUUGCUGACGAGUGGCGGACGGGUGAGUAAUGCUUGGGAAUCUGGCUUAUGGAGGGGGAUAACUGUGGGAAACUGCAGCUAAUACCGCGUAUUCUCUGAGGAGGAAAGGGUGGGACCUUAGGGCCACCUGCCAUAAGAUGAGCCCAAGUGGGAUUAGGUAGUUGGUGGGGUAAAGGCCUACCAAGCCUGCGAUCUCUAGCUGGUCUGAGAGGAUGACCAGCCACACUGGAACUGAGACACGGUCCAGACUCCUACGGGAGGCAGCAGUGGGGAAUAUUGCGCAAUGGGGGGAACCCUGACGCAGCCAUGCCGCGUGAAUGAAGAAGGCCUUCGGGUUGUAAAGUUCUUUCGGUAAUGAGGAAGGGAUGUUAUUAAAUAGAUAGCAUCAUUGACGUUAAUUACAGAAGAAGCACCGGCUAACUCCGUGCCAGCAGCCGCGGUAAUACGGAGGGUGCGAGCGUUAAUCGGAAUAACUGGGCGUAAAGGGCACGCAGGCGGACUUUUAAGUGAGAUGUGAAAUCCCCGAGCUUAACUUGGGAACUGCAUUUCAGACUGGGAGUCUAGAGUACUUU